AUGGCGCUGAUGACAAGGCGGGCGGCGACGCCAGCUCUCGUCCCGAGGAAGCCGCAGGAGGACGAGUACAAGCCAGACCAGGUCGACGUGCCCCCCUGCCACAACUCCUUCUCCUGCGGGUUGGUUGCUGCUGUUGCUGGUGCCGUUCGUGUCCGAUUCGAUUGGCCUGCCGUUUGCGGGAGGCUGCAAGAUUUGUUGGAACCAAUUUUGAGAAGACUGAAUCUACCACGUAUCCAAAUGGAGCGGCUGCAAUCGUUAUAUACCCAGAAUGAUGCUUUUAUAUGUCUGAAUUUUCACAAGUAUUGCUAA
rnacentral:rRNA from 1 species